GACGAACCGUGCGAACGUUAUUCGGAAUCACUGGGCUUAAAGCGCGUGUAGGCGGCCCGGCACGUCCGUCGCUGAAAGCCCCCGGCUCAACCGGGGAACGGGCGCGGAUACGACCGGGCUGGAGGGGGGUAGGGGGCGCCGGAACGGCCGGUGGAGCGGUGAAAUGCGUUGAGAUCGGCCGGAACGCCCGUGGCGAAAGCGGGCGCCUGGACCCCGCCUGACGCUGAGACGCGAAAGCCAGGGGAGCGAACGGG
rnacentral:rRNA from 1 species